AGGAUCGUGGGAACAAUAUCCCAGGGGGGUUUCCACUUUCUGCCAUAUAUGUAGUCACAUCGCCCACUCCGCCUUGGAAUAUUAUUAAGGACCAUCUAACACGAGGGUGUAUACGUCCUGCGAUAUUACGAGUAAUAUCAACUUCUUGGCCUCUGAAUAUGAGGAAGAAUAUCACAGGGGGUCCGAAUGCAGCCCGGGAUCACAAAGAAAGCAGGUCGUUUGCAAUCUACCAGAGCCUAAGGGCAGAAGGCAGGAUAUUAAUAACAAUUUCACAGGCUGGGUGAACACAGCCGGCGAUGCUGAAAUUAUUAUCAUCCUCUCCCCCUCUUCCCCUCCUGGCUCUCAGUCCCCGCCUCACGGGUUAUGUAGCGGGUUA
rnacentral:lncRNA from 10 species